rnacentral:rRNA from 1 species
AUGAACGCUGGCGGCGUGGAUAAGGCAUGCAAGUCGAAUGGGUUUAGACCCAUGGCAAACGGGUUCGGAUAACAUAGGAAUUUUCCCUAAAGUCGCGGAUAAUCCAGAGAAAUUUGGAAUAAUACGCGAUAUGCUCUACGGAGUAAAGAUUUAUCGCUUUAGGAGAAGCCUGUGUCCUAUCAGCUUGUUGGUGAGGUAAUAGCUCACCAAGGCUAUGACGGGUAGGGGGUGUGAGAGCACGGCCCCCAACAUUGGAACUGAGACACUGUCCAAACACCUACGGGUGGCUGCAGUCGAGAAUAUUCCACAAUGGACGAAAGUCUGAUGGAGCGACGCCGCGUGCGGGAUGAAGGUCUUCGGAUUGUAAACCGCUUUUUUCAGGGAGCAAUUUCGAUGAGAGUACCUGAAGAAUAAGAGGUUACUAACUCUGU